UACGUAGGUGGCAAGCGUUGUUCGGAAUAACUGGGCGCAAAGGAUGCGUAGGCGGUUAAACAAGUUAUAUGUUAAAUAUAUAGGCUUAACCUGUAGAAAGCAUAUAAAACUGUUUAACUAGAGUGCAGGAGAGGUAAGUGGAAUUCCUAGUGUAGCGGUGAAAUGCGUAGAGAUUAGGAAGAACACCAGUGGCGAAGGCGACUUACUGGACUGUAACUGACGCUGAGGCAUGAGAGCAUGGGGAGCAAACAGG
rnacentral:rRNA from 1 species